rnacentral:rRNA from 1 species
AGGACGAACGCUGGCGGCGUGCUUAACACAUGCAAGUCGAGCGGUAAGGCCUCUUCGGGGGUACACGAGCGGCGAACGGGUGAGUAACACGUGGGUGACCUGCCCUCAGCUCUGGGAUAAGCCUGGGAAACUGGGUCUAAUACUGGAUAUUCACUUCUCAUCGCAUGGUGGGUGGUGGAAAGUCCUGGGCUUAAUUGUCUGGGUUCGGCUGGGGAUGGGCCCGCGGCCUAUCAGCUUGUUGGUGGGUGAUGGCCUACCAAGGCGACGACGGGUA